GGUACCAGGAAUGUAGCCAGGUUGAACAAGUCCACAAAAACCUUGUAGCGGUCACUGGAAGGAAAACAAAAAUGUGUUUAAGGAGGACCUUUGACUCAUCUCCCCAAAAUCUUUCUACCUCCUCCCGUCUUGCUACUCUGGCGAUAUGAAAUGAGAAAACGAGCCCAUACACACAGGACCAUAUUUACAUCUGUAAAAACUGCCCCAUGUGACUUUUUUUUAAUUUUUUUUUUUUAAUUUUUUUUUUUUAUGUGCACAUCAUUCGAUGUCAUACUUUGUGCGCAUGGGUGUCACUUCACGGACAUUUUACGCUCACAUAAGAAGUUGCAUUUCUUUUUGUCAUGUGAAUGAGUACAUAAAAAGAGCGUAUUUAACAAAAAAAAACUAACAAACAAACAAAAAUCAACAACAAC